rnacentral:tmRNA from 1 species
UACGGAUUCGACAGGGAUAGAUUGAGCUCAGGUUGCACGUCGAGGUUACGGCUCGUAAAACGUUAUGCCUAAAUAUAACUGGCAAAGAAAACAAUCAACCUGCUUUAGCAGCUGCGUAAGCUCUGCUAAGCGAUCCUUCCUGCUAUUGCCCGUGUAGCAGAUUGAAGGGUCUCAAAUGAAACGGGCUAUACAAUCAUUCGCCGUCUGAGGAUGGUUGUUGAAACGAAUCAGACUAGCUUCUCUAAAGCCCGUCGGUAGGCUGCAGAGUAAGUAAAUGAUAAUAUACCGAAUAAGCGUGUAGAAGCCUGAGUGGCGAUAUCUCUGGACGUGGGUUCGAUUA